UACAUAAAUGCUGUUGACUAAUAGCCAGUGUGGUGACUGAUCAUUUCUAGGCACAGGCUAUGCAGCUGCACUAAGUACUGGUGGUCAGGGGCCCUAUGGUGGUGAGUAAAUCAGUCACAUGAGUUAGACAAACUAGCAAGAUUCUAACCUAAUGACCUCUCUCUUUUAAGGUCUAAUGUGUGGUUAGUUUCACUAUGUUCAUUUUUGUUUUUUCACAGGACAAAAUGAUGGAAGCAAGCUUAGUGGCACUUAUGGGAAUGGGUACAAAGGUUGAUUUCCAAGACCAUGCUGUUAACUUUGUCAGUGUUUUUUUGGCCCCUUUUUGCCUAGUAUUCCUCACCGUUGUGCAGUUUUGUGACAUGUUUUUGUUUGCCAUAUUGUUUUAGUUUUAGGUUUGUGCCCAUUUGUGUGGGCAUGUGUGUUUUGUGUGUACGUGUGGUUUUAAUGUUCAUUGUUAUGUUCCUUGAUGUUUCCCCAGUCUGUUCAUUUGUUUUGUCCGGUGGAGUGUUUAAUGUCCCUUGUGUGUCUCUGUAUCUAACUAAAACAUGCUAAACACUUCAUUGGCUGUUAUUUUAAUUCUUAUGAAACACUAAAUAUUCCACCUC
rnacentral:lncRNA from 1 species